CCAGUCUGAGUUGGUGGCGCCGGGGCAUCCGUACCAGAACUCCAAGACGGUGGUGGGCCUCUCACUCGAGAUGGGCACGCUGCUCUACGUCCUGCGUGAAGACGCCCAGGACGAGCAUAAAAUCCUAUACGCCGCGUGCUCCGACGCUGGCUUGACCAACCAGGACGGGUUUCAACGAUUGACCAACGGCGCAGGAUUCAGCCACCGAUGUCCUGGCUACUGUACAACGUCCACCUCGGCGACCACACCAGUAAUUGCACCACGCCGUUCGCGCUCCUCAAGGAAGUCUGCGACUCGUUCAAGGGCGCUUCUUCUUGCUAGCCACAGCCGGGAUAUUUUCGCUUGCUUUCGCCGAGACCGCAACGCAGUCCUCCUUGGUACAAGCAAAACUUUGAUUUGGGAGAGUUGGUAUACAUGCUUAGCGGAGGAAACAGCGCAAAAUGAUGAAGACGAAGGAUACACGGUACACUGGACGAACGCCGUAUUUACAACUGAAAACAUUAUUGCAACAACCAGUCGUUUUUACAGUGCUCAACCCCGCGCCUCCUAUGCAGUCCUGGACUUCGUCGUGGACUUACAACCGUGGACUUCACCAAUAGGUCGCUCUCAACUAGAUGGCGACGCCUUCGACGAUUGCUGAGCCCGUCGUCAGAUAUGCAUCCGUA